rnacentral:rRNA from 1 species
CCGAGAAUCUUCCGCAAUGGGCGAAAGCCUGACGGAGCGACGCCGCGUGCGGGAUGAAGGCCUUCGGGUUGUAAACCGCUGUCAGUGGGGAGCAAAUGCACGGGGGUUCUCCCUUGUGCUUGAGCGAUCCGCAGAGGAAGCGCAGGCUAAGUUCGUGCCAGCAGCCGCGGUAACACGAACUGCGCAAACGUUAUUCGGAAUCACUGGGCUUAAAGAGUUCGUAGGCGGCGCGUUAAGUCGGGUGUGAAAUCCCUCGGCUCAACCGAGGAAUUGCGCCCGAAACUGGCGUGCUUGAGUAAGAUAGAGGUGAGCGGAACUGAUGGUGGAGCGGUGAAAUGCGUUGAUAUCAUCAGGAACACCGGUGGCGAAAGCGGCUCACUGGGUCUUAACUGACGCUGAGGAACGAAAGCUAGGGUAGCGAACGG